UGAUAAGCCAUGCGAGUCGAGAGGGUUCGGCCCUCGGCGUACUGCUCAGUAACACGUGGAUAACCUGCCCUAGGGAAGGGGAUAACCCCGGGAAACUGGGGAUAAUACCCUAUAGGUUACAGAUGCUGGAAUGCUCUGUAACCCAAAGUUCCGGCGCCCUAGGAUGGAUCUGCGGCCGAUUAGGUUGUUGUUGGGGUAAUGGCCCAACAAGCCAGUAAUCGGUACGGGUUGUGGGAGCAAGAGCCCGGAGUUGGAUUCUGAGACACGAAUCCAGGCCCUACGGGGCGCAGCAGGCGCGAAAACUUUACAAUGCGGGCAACCGUGAUAAGGGAACCUCGAGUGCCUGUAAAUGCAGGCUGUUUAGGUGUUUAAAACGCACCUGGAGAAAGGGCCGGGCAAGACCGGUGCCAGCCGCCGCGGUAAUACCGGCGGCUCGAGUGGUGGCCACUUUUAUUGGGCUUAAAGCGUUCGUAGCUGGGUUGUUAAGUCUCUUGGGAAAUCUGGCGGCUUAACCGUCAGGCGUCUAAGGGAUACUGGCAAUCUUGGAACCGGGAGAGGUGAGGGGUACUUCGGGGGUAGGAGUGAAAUCCUGUAAUCCUCGAGGGACCACCUGUGGCGAAGGCGCCUCACCAGAACGGCUUCGACAGUGAGGGACGAAAGCUGGGGGAGCAAACCGGAUUAGAUACCCGGGUAGUCCCAGCCGUAAACUAUGCGCGUUAGGUGUAUCGGUGACCACGAGUUACCGAGGUGCCGAAGGGAAACCGUGAAACGUGCCGCCUGGGAAGUACGGUCGCAAGGCUGAAACUUAAAGGAAUUGGCGGGGGAGCA
rnacentral:rRNA from 1 species